rfam:Schistosoma mansoni strain Puerto Rico chromosome 3, complete genome
AUCCAGCUGAAGAGUCCCAAAUAGGACGAAACGCGUGUCCUGGAC